rnacentral:rRNA from 1 species
CGGACGGGUGAGUAAUGUCUGGGAAACUGCCUGAUGGAGGGGGAUAACUACUGGAAACGGUAGCUAAUACCGCAUAACGUCGCAAGACCAAAGAGGGGGACCUUCGGGCCUCUUGCCAUCGGAUGUGCCCAGAUGGGAUUAGCUAGUAGGGGGGGUAACGGCUCACCUAGGCGACGAUCCCUAGCUGGUCUGAGAGGAUGACCAGCCACACUGGAACUGAGACACGGUCCAG